GCUCGAGUGGCGAACGGGUGAGUAACACGUGAGUAACCUGCCCUUGACUUUGGGAUAACUUCAGGAAACUGGGGCUAAUACCGGAUAGGAGCUCCUGCUGCAUGGUGGGGGUUGGAAAGUUUCGGCGGUUGGGGAUGGACUCGCGGCUUAUCAGCUUGUUGGUGGGGUAGUGGCUUACCAAGGCUUUGACGGGUAGCCGGCCUGAGAGGGUGACCGGCCACAUUGGGGCUGAGAUACGGCCCAG
rnacentral:rRNA from 1 species